rnacentral:sRNA from 1 species
CGACCCUUCUUAAGCCGAGGGUCACCUAGCCAACUGACGUUGUUAGUGAAUAAAUUUUGUUCACAGUAUAUAUAAGCCAAUUGCCACUUUUUGCGAUUGGCUAUUUUUUU